rnacentral:rRNA from 1 species
CCAAUAGCGUCUAUUAAAGUUGUUGCAGUUAAAAAGCUCGUAGUUGAACUUCGGGGUUCACCCAUUGGUCAGGCUUAAUUGUCUGCACUGGUGAGAUGAGUCUCUACCUUCUGAGGAACUUUCAUGCCAUUUAUUUGGUGUGAUUGGAAAUCAGGACUGUUACUUUGAAAAAAUUAGAGUGUUUAAAGCAGGCUAACGUCUGAAUACAUUAGCAUGGAAUAAUGAAAUAGGACGGACUGAUUCUAUUUCGUUGGUUUCUAGGAUCACCGUAAUGAUUAAUAGGGAUAGUUGGGGGCAUUAGUAUUCAAUUGUCAGAGGUGAAAUUCUUGGAUUUAUUGAAGACUAACUACUGCGAAAGCAUUUGCCAAGGAUGUUUUCAUUAAUCAAGAACGAAAGUUAGGGGAUCGAAGACGAUCAGAUACCGUCGUAGUCUUAACCAUAAACUAUGCCGACUAGGGAUCGGAUGAUGUUAAUUUUUUAAUGACUCAUUCGGCGCCUUACG